rnacentral:rRNA from 1 species
UACAUACUGUGCGAACGUUAUUCGGAUUCACUGGGCUUAAAGGGUGCGUAGGUGGUUUGUUAAGUAGGGUGUGAAAGCCCCCAGCUCAACUGGGGAACUGCACUCUAUACUGGCGAGCUAGAGUGAGAUAGGGGUGUCCGGAACUGCCAGUGGAGCGGUGAAAUGUGUUGAUAUUGGCAGGAACGCCGGUGGCGAAAGCGGGACACUGGGUCUCAACUGACACUGAGGCACGAAAGCCAGGGGAGCGAACGGG